GGCCACCAGGGGUGAAGGGCUAAGACAUAGUUCCACCGACACUCCACGUCCUAUGUGGGGGCAUCAGGCACCUCUGAGGUUAAAGACAAGAUUACCACUUAAAGGCAUAUACUGUAUUGGAUGUUAUAAACAGCCAGGCUUUGAGAAGUGAUCAAAGACUCUUCAAACAAUCAUACAUGGUUGUGUAAUUUAAAAACAGUGGGCCUGAUUCUCCUCGCAUAGCCAUCCGUACUAAUCUGGACUAACUACUGAAGUCAAACAGAGCUACAAUGACGUAAAACCUGUGAGAGAGAGGGAGGAAGAUCAAGACCAGUGAUUAUAUGUGUGGUUCUCAAGCAGGGCAAUAGUUGUAUUGCCCAGAUGGAAUGUUGAACAGGACUGAGGUUCACGUGCCAGAGAUGUUAUUGCCCACUUACCUGAACCCUGCAUAUCCUUCUAAAGUAGGUUGACGUGAAAUAGGGUAAUUUUCCCUAAUAGCUCAAACUUUAUUAGUCCACAUUAUUUUCAGCAUGCCGUAGAUUGAAAAAAAGACCUGAAUGCAAGGAAAACCAGAGAUGCACAUGCAAUAGUGUGAACAGCAGGCAUAGGAUUCCCAAGCUCUCCCAGAAAGAAUUAAAAAAGAAAGUGCUGUGGGAAGAGCUGAACAGAGUGGAGUUACAUUGGAACCCUGCAUUCUUUCGUAAUGCUUGGGUUGAAAUGAUUGGGAGAAAAGCAUCCCAGAGCCCGGGCUCCAGCCCAAGCCAGACAUCUAUAUCACAAUUUUACAGUCCUGUAGCCCAACCCC